GAUUUCUGGCUUCGCAGCGUCUGGCCUCGCACGGUUUCGUGUGUCAGUGCCGCGACGUUCGAGCCAUCCUUCCAAUCGCUGCUCCGCUCUUCUUCAUUGAACGGGCGGUGGCGGUAUUGGAUCUUUUACUUUGAAAAAAUUAGAGUGUUUCAAGCAGGCUUAAUGCUAUGAAUACAUUAGCAUGGAAUAAUAAUUUAGGACUUCGGUUCUAUUUUGUUGGUUUCUAGGACUGAAGUAAUGAUUGAUAGGGAUAGUUGGGGGUGCUAGUAUUCAGCGGCCAGAGGUGAAAUUCUCGGAUUCGCUGAAGACUAACUUAUGCGAAAGCAUU
rnacentral:rRNA from 1 species